UAGGGUUCUUGUAGUUGAAUAA
rnacentral:tRNA from 1 species